rnacentral:rRNA from 1 species
GUGGAUUAGAUACCCUGGUAGUCCACGCCCUAAACGAUGUCGACUGGUUGUUGGGGGUUUGACACUCUCAGUAACGAAGCUAACGCGUGAAGUCGACCGCCUGGGGAGUACGGCCGCAAGGUUAAAACUCAAAGGAAUUGACGGGGACCCGCACAAGCGGUGGAUUAUGUGGAUUAAUUCGAUGCAACGCGAAAAACCUUACCUACCCUUGACAUGUCCUGAAGCCUGGAGAGAUCCGGGUGUGCCCGAAAGGGAACGGGAACACAGGUGCUGCACGGCCGUCGACAACU